UACGAAGGGGGCUAGCGUUGCUCGGAAUCACUGGGCGUAAAGAGCGCGCAGGCGGUCGUUCAAGUCGCGUGUGAAAGCCCCCGGCUCAACUGGGGAGGGUCACGCGAUACUGAUCGACUGGAAGGCAGGAGAGGGUAGUGGAAUUCCCGGUGUAGUGGUGAAAUGCGUAGAUAUCGGGAGGAACACCAGUGGCGAAGGCGACUACAUGGCCUGUUCUUGACGCUGAGGCGCGAAAGCUAGGGGAGCAAACGAG
rnacentral:rRNA from 1 species